rnacentral:lncRNA from 1 species
GUAUAGCUAACAGUGAUAGAUUAAAUCAUGUAAUGAUUGUUUUUUUUUAAAAAAAAGAUAUAGGUGUGGCCCUACAACAGAAUUAGAUUAUAGGGACACAUGUUUGAGACACUUUUGAGUAAGUGUCUCAUUUAUGCUAAAACUUAAAAACACAUCUACUAAUGCCUAAAUAUAAAGCCCAAUCCAAUCAAAAAGAAAAAAUUAUUCUACUCAACCCACCACACUUAGUCCAUUUGGCCCGGUUAUAAACAGAAAAGAAAAAAAAAAGAAAAAUUAAUUACCAUCUGUUUUUCUCUUUUCACUCAAUUCACUAAAAUUCUAGACGAAGAGCCUUUACUGUCGUCCUCCUCCGCCACCGCAGCCAACGAGAUAGAGUUUCGGCGGUUGCUAAAUGCUUAAAUAAGUGUUGGUAAAUUAGCAGCACUCUUUUAGGUUAUAGAGACACUCUUUAACUGUCACUAUAUACCUAGCGACCCCACAUAUAGCAACACUUUUUAAAAUUGUCGAUAAUUUUAGCCAGCAGUACUUUUUUGACAUGUACCUAUAUUUAAAAGUGUCGUUAUAGAUCGUUUUUGUUGUAGUGGAUCUACCAAAUGAGACCUAGAUAGAAGAGUUUUUUUUCCAAAUUUUUCCUAUUGAUUGACAUAAUUAUUUGAUAUUUGGGAUGCUUGUGAGUUUUCCUACUGAAGUUGAAAGUUCGAUAUGAGCGAGAGAUCAGAGUAUACAUGUCGUGAGUUCAAUGAUACAACAAUUGCCAGCACCAUUUACUUUCUCGAGAUCGCAAGUUCAAUCUUCAAGAUCUAUACGAAAAAUAAGGUCCUUUUCCGUGGCGAUUCGAUGCAACGUUUUCCUAUUCCUAAACAGUCCAUGAGUUUUUCUACAGGUUAUGAUGUACUUUGCCUUUUACUUUUGUAUACUUUCAACUUGUUUUUCUGAUAAGUAUGAGUGUUCAUGAGACAGGGUAGGGGCCUCAUCACCCUCUCACUUAUCUAUAUUCAUGAAAGGAUUUUUGGUCAAUGAAACAAUUAAUUAUCCCAUGCUUUUACUAAAAGAUGGUUGGAACCUAAUACAUUAUUUAUUAAGUGGUGCCUUUUGUACUAAUUUCAACAUGGUUACUGACAAAAAAAAGAAAAAAAAAAAAAAAAAGCCCUAGUGAGUUGCAAAGUAAAUGGAUGAUUUAUUGAGGAAUUGUCAGUGGGUCCUCAAGAAAUUUUUAAGGAUUCUUUGGAGUUGAAGUUGUAAUAUUCUUGAGCAGUUCCCUAUUAGAAAACUGGUUUAAAGGAAAUAGAAUUGUAAAAUUAAUUAGGUUAAUAGCAAAAAGAGUGAGGUGAAUCUUAUUUGUCAUUAGACAUCAAACUUCCGGUCUAGCAAAAUAACGAAAAUUUAGAAUUGACUCUGAUAAUAUAUUAUUUAAAUAUCAUUAACUUUUUCAGUAAAUACUGAUUCCAUAGGUCAAUAACAACGAACGAUGUGUAAAAAUGAAAAAUAAAGGGCAAAAGAUAUAGAUGCCCAUUCAGUGUAACAUUAUGUGCAGAAAAAUUCAUGAUACAAUUCCGCUCCUCAUCUUUGGGAGGGAAAGGGGUGGGAGAAAAAGAAAAAAUAUCUAAUUUAGUUGUUGGAUUUCAAUCAUUCUGAUACAUUUCACCAUUAAUGAGCGGUAACUUAUACUGUAGAGAAAUUGCGCCUGAAGAUAUUGUUUAUCUAAAAUCGCCAUAAUAAUUUAAGAUAGGAUUGUGAACUCUAGUGAGUUGCAAAGUUUAUAUGUUACUACUUAUAUAUUGAAGAAUAUGUAGGUUAAAUAUGCAAUUUAUGAUAUUUUUGGUUGAAUUGCACUUUUAUAUAUUGUAACUUUUAUUGAUCUUGUAAUUUUAUAUGCAUAAAUAGUUUAUUAUUGAAUGACAAUUAGCUAAAAUAUUAUUUAUAAUUUUUUAAUGCAUUAUCUAUUAUUCAAUAUUUAAAAAUUAGUAUAAUAUUUAGUGAUAUUUGAAUUUAGAUGUUGGAUAUUAAAUUAUAAAUAGCAAUAUUUAGUAAUGUUGGGAAUAGUUGCUUUAUACUAACAUUAGCAACAUUUAGUAAUGUUGGGAAUGGUUAAAUUAUACCAACAUUAGCAACAUUUACAAUUGUUGGGAAUGAUUAUAUUAUAAUAGGAUUAGCAACAUUUAGUAAUGUUGGGAAUAAUUAGUUAUGCCAACAUACAAUAAAAGUUGCAAAAUCUACUUAUAUAGCAACACUUGUUAUGUGCCUCUUUAUGCUUAAUAUUAGCAACAUUUUACUCAAAUGUUGGUAAAGGAUUCACCAACUAGGGCAUAGGCAACGUUAAAUACUAAAUGUUGCUAAUAAUUUUAGCAUCAAUUUUAUGUUUUUUAGCAACAAUAAUAGAUGCCACCAAAACAUAAAUUUUUUGUAGUGUCUCUGGCUUAUUAUCCUUCCUUCCUGGUGGAGUUUUGCUUGAACAUCACCCUAUAGUUUGCUAUUUCCUAGUUCUUAUUUUGUCGAGCCUAGUUAAACUUCUAUGUUAGUGUUAGGUGGAGGGAGAGUACCAAAGUACUAAUCCCCUCAAAUGUGCAGUAAUGUUUGUGGAGUGAUAGUCCAACAAAAGUACUAACUCUUUAAGCUGUGUACUGUGUCAUUAUUGUUGAUCUUUUCACCCUUGAAGCUUGCCAAAGUACUAAUCCCUUCAAUGUGUAGUAAUGUUAGUAGAGUUAUAUUCCAAAAGUACUUACUCUUUAAGCUUUGUACCAUGUUAUUCCCUUCAAAUGGGGUUUCAUAAAUUAGCUAGUAAACUGUUCACUAGUAAGCGACAGUAGCAAAUUAAAUAACAUGCAGUACUUAGCUGAAAAUGUGAAUCAACUAGGAUUCGAACUUGAAAUCUCAGAUGCCAACCAUCAAACUCUUUGCCACUUGCGUUAAGGACGGUUGGUCAAAAUAGGAUACAGUAGCAAAGAGGAAAAAAAGGAUUCAGUAAAUUUUAGAAUAUAUUUUUAGAAAAGGUUAGUACGCUGUUAGCUUCGUUCUUUUUUAAAAAAUAAAAUUAACUUAAAAAUAUGUAAUAACUAAGGUUUCAAACUUAGAACUUUGAAUGCCUACUAUCAAAUCCUAUACUAUCUAUAUGGUUUAAAUAUUAAAUUUGUUAAUGAAUUGAAAAAGUUACCACUACGAGGUUUACUAGUUUUCAUAAUGGUUUAAUAAUUAUUAUGACCGCUUCAUCCAAGUUUUCAUCGGACUGGAUUAAGAAUUGAUUUAUGAUCUAACUAGAAAAAUUUAUCUAAUAUUUAUUUGAGCAGAAAAAUAAAUAAUUAUGCGGAAAACAUAUGCUCCCAUCUAGAGGAAUAUUUUCGUGUACCACAACAUUAUUCUAAGGGUGCGUUUGGUUCGAGUUAUUCUGGCAGAAUUAUAGGCAAUCCUGCCAGGAUAACUGUGUUUGGUUAAUCCGUUAUGUAAUCUAGUCGUUAAUGCAGCAUUACAAAUCGAGCAGGAUUACAUCGAAAAUAUUAACGGGAGGGGGGUCGUGUAUCUUGCAUUACUGAAACCCGUUAAUACUACAUAUUAUGUAAAAUGACAAUUUUACCCUCCAACAACUCCAAAUCUAAUUAACAGCAUUAUUUUCAUCUCUCGACUUCCCCCCGGCCGUCUCUCUCGCACGCCGCUUUCUCUCGCUCUCUCUCUCUCAACGUCUCUCUCUCUCUCUCUCUCUCUCUUUCUCUCGCACGAACACCUAUCAUCUUCUAUUGCGUCGUCCUCCUAAGUAAUCAUCACGAUCUCCUUCCCUCUAUUCGUCAUUUUCGCAAAAAAUAAUAUUCAAAUGACCAAAACAAAGGCAAUUUUGGAAAAACUAUACUUUUAUGUCAUAAUUACUAAAUUUGAUAAACUGAACUAAACAUAUUAAUGCUAUAAACACUGUAAUCUACUAUUACAUUACUGUAUUAAACCAAACGCUCUAAUGCAGCAUCAGUAGUAAUCUCACGCCGAAAUCCAAAAUACCUGGAUAUGUCGAUAUACUUUGUAAUAUUACAUAACUCGAACCAAACGGGCCCUAAAGGGCAUUUGGUUUGGCAUAAAAUAAAAUAAAAAAUUAUUUUUGGUAUUAAAAAUAUUUUUCUAUUUGUUUGGUUCGACAUAAAACUAUUCUUUCGUAAAAUCAUUUUUACAAAUUUGGGGAAAAGUUUGAAGUUUUCUGUUAUUUUUUGACGAAAAACGAAAACUCAAGCCACUAAAAUUUUUGUUUAUUCUUUUUUUUUUCACCGAACCAAAUAAAUUUGAAUUUUUUUUUUUUCAACCAAACAAAUGUUGAUGAAAAAUUAUUUUUUCACCCUACAAAUCAAAUACUACAAAAUGUAAAGAAAAAAAGAAUUCCAUCGAAAUUUUUUUAUGAAAUCAUUUCCCACAUAUCCAAAACAUUGUGCCCUGGCAUUAAUUAGUGCAUUGCAUUGUUUUCACAAUGCACAUCAUUGGGAGAUCAUCUUCUUUCUUGCACAAAGAGGCCAUUUUUUAGUACCAUGAAUAGAGAGCACAUCAAGUGUCAGAUCUUGCACAAGCAUUUAUUCCCUACGUUGCUCAGCCCCUCUAUUAAUGUGAGAACUUGCUCCUGCAAAUACUAUGCAGCAGCACAUUUAUGAGCUUGCAUUCGAUUGCGAGCCUCUUCAGAAAGUUGCAGGCCUCUGCAAGAAGAAAAAAAAAGUCUAAAAUGCAUCAGUUAUAUUAGUGGUGUGGUUUUUCCAACCAAUCAGUUUAUUUUUUUAGAAUUUAUCUAGCUAUAUAUUCUGUCAUGAUUAUCUGAAAAUUAUUUUUAUUUUACUUUUUGUAACAAAAAAAAAAUGAUUGGCUAGUUAUUGAUAAUAUGGUAGAAGUGUGACACAGUAAAUUUUCUUCUUCGUCAUAUACUUUUAAGAGCCCACUCAAGAGAGAAAAUCUUUUGAUUUUCAAAGAAAAAAUUUGUACCAGGGGAUUCAAUUAUGACAUAAAACACACACAUGAUGGUAAAAAUAAGGCUUAGUACAAACAUUAUUUCCACAUUAUUUUACGCAUGGAAGAUAAUAAUGUUUGGUAGAGGAGAUUCAGGAAUGCUUUUAGUGGUUAACUAGAUACAGACUCUCGUUGAAAUGAUUCUUUUUAGAGUCCUAUUUUUGAAGCACUUUUUAACUUCCACUAUAAUAAAACUAUUGAAUUUUUUGUGAGCAAUGCUAACCCUACAAUCACAUUUUCAGUGAUCUUACAACUCUGUUAUCCGAGCGUCAUAUUUUUCAACGAGUCUUAUCAUCCUUCUUUUUUUAUUACUAAAAUUCAGAAAAAAUAUUUUAAGCCCUAGAAGGUAGGAUUAUAAUUCUUGAAUUCAAAAUUGUACCAUAAUAUUUGGACUAGAGAUUGUAAUCCCUUUUUUUUUUUUUUUUUUUUUUUUUGGUGGGUCAUAGACUUAACAUUUCUUAUUUUUACUUUUUCGAGAUAGAAAAAGCUUGUCAUAACUCAUAAGUCAACAAGACAACUUAAAAAAGAUUUAGGAAUUUACAUACUCUUUGAUUUGGUAAUAAACUUGGGAUAGUCCAAGUUAUUGGCUAUAUUCUCCUAAUAAACACCAUAUUUUGUCUAUGCAUGAAUUAUCUUGAUUAAACCACCUAGAAUAAGUAGGGAGAAAUUGUUAUAUUGUAUUAUAUUAAAAAUUUUAAUUAUUACAUCCUAAUAAAUUUAAUGUAACAAUUAAACUAUGCAAAAUAUUACAAAUGUAAUGUAAAUAUAAAUUGUUAUUAUAUAUGUAAUACAUUAUUUAGGUAAAAAUAUAUAAAACUUAUAUGAACUAUAGAUCAUUUUGAUUCGACUACUCAAUUGUUUAAAAUUUUGAUUUUAGUACUCAACUUUUUAGUUUAUUCGAUUUGACUGAUUUGACGACUUUUCGGAUAUAAAUCUAAGUUAUAUAAUUACUUAUUUUAAUAAAUUUAUAGUUAUGCGAAUUUUAUAGAGUGUACUAAUUAAAUCCAUAAAGAUAACCAAUGGAUUCAAAUUUUGAAGUUAAAGAACCACUAACUAGCUCAAAUAAAAACAACCUACAAAUAGUAAAUUAAAAUUUUUAAAGAUUAGGUAGCUAGAUAAAAAUAGAUGAUAGUUGAGAUAAGUUUUAUACUUUUUUACAUAUUACCUAUGGAGNUCUGCACUGAUUUUUUCCUUCUUGUCUUGGCAGGCCAGCUCACAGUAAUUUUUAUUUCAAUUUAUAUCAUCAAUCCAAUAAUCUGAAAAAAAAAAAAAAAAAAAACUGUUUCUGAUAAAUGCAUCUCCAAAUAAACUGUAUUUUAAUGGUUAAAAAAAAAGAAAAAUAAAAAUUCCAGAGCUUCUCACGUAAAAUAAAGAUAGAGUGUCACUUUUUCCUGUGUGAGAUCACGAAAAUCAAAACUAAGCAUAAUAUAUAUAAUUUGUUUAAUUAUUAAACUAUAAUUUAUUUGAAUUCGACAUGAUAGUACGAGGAUAAAAUUUCAAUGGGAACUCCUCAAUGACACCGCGGAGAGCCUCCUAUCUAUUGCCACGUGUCAGUAUAUGGCCUCCAUUCAAAGGUCCGUCGAAAAUUUUUUAAUUCUAAAACUCAAAAUUCAAGUAAACUCUAGAGGAUAGAAUUAUAAUAAUUGGAUAGAGAUAAAACUGACACGCGGUAGCAAAUUGAAGGCUCAUCAACAUGGUUUCGUUGAAAAGCUUUCCACUGAAUUUUAUACUAGGUUCGCUACUAAUGAAUGAUAAUACGAUAAAUAAGGACUUAACAUAAAAUAAGUAAGAUACUAUACAUAAACUUUAUUAUAAAGUGUAAGUACAUUUUAUAGGCUAUCAUCUAAGAGUUUAUAGAAAAGAAUAAAUUAAAGAAAAUUAAUAAGGCAAUUGAAUGAAUCUUAGAUUUUUUAAUACUGUGGUUUAAGAUUAAUAUAUAAUAUUACUUAUAAAAUAAAUGAAAGAUUUGCCUAUUAAAGUCACCUUUAUUUUUUAUUUUUUUAUUUUUUUGAGAGAAAAAUAGCAAGCUAUCCACUUCAUUCAUAAUGCGGUAUGAAUUAACCUGGUAAUUAAGGAGGAAACAAAAACAACAAAAAUAGAGAGGAGAGGAGAAGGGGGGGAUGAGAUAGAGGAGAGGGACGGUGGAGGAGGAUUAAGUUACAGGUGUACAAUUAACGGCAUUGUUCGAACUAAUUCCACGUCAGUAAAUGUAUACCCCGAAAAAUCUGAGUUAGGCUCGAGCCUUGUUCUAUAAAGAUAAUUCUGUUUCUUUCUACCUGGAUUACCCACUACAUAGCUGAAGGUCCGAUCGAGUUCUUUUAACCGACUAUGACUGUCAUUUUCAACUUUCGUAGUACAAAGGCCACCAUUUCAGAUGGCCAUAGAAAGCAAAUGUUAGUGGCCAAAAUUGUGAAUAGACUUGGGGAACCAUUUUUAGUUUGCUUCAUAUUUCUCUAUGUAUGGUCGGUACUAUAUAUAUAUGGCCAAAAAGUCAUAAAAUGAAAAGGAAAAACUAGUCAGCAGGACAUAGCAAGGGAGAAUAAAUUCCCAUUUAAUAUGCUGAGAAUUUGGUUAGCAUAUUGAAACAAAGUCGCUUUGGGAUGGAAUUUUCGAAGCCCACAUGGGAUUCAGUGUGUACAAAGAGUCCUUAUUUGGGCUUAUUGGGCUAAAACAGCUUCUCUGCUCGCAAAAAUUUGAUUUCCAUUGAGCGAAAAGCUUUCCAACGAUGCCUCAUUGAAGAACUCCAAAUCAUUAUCCUAUAUCACUUUAUUUAUCUAUAUUCAAGAACUAUAAUUCUUUUUUCUGGAGUUCAAUUUUUUUGAAAAAAAUUUUAGCAUUCAAAAAUAUUCGAAAAGAAUUAUUGGAUGAAGACAAAAUUAAUACGUGGUGGUGGAUGCGUCGUUGAGAAACUCUCCGGUCAAGAUUUAUCGGAAGUGGAGGUGGGACUCCUAAAAGCACCAGCUCUUAGUUUAGUACUUUUGACUUCGAAAUAAAUGCAUAAAUGUUUCCUAAAUUUUAAUCUUUUUCAACUUAAAUCCUCUAAACUUUUAAUUUUGAUAAUUAAACUAACUAAGCUUUAUCAAAUAGUUUCGUUCGUCUUCUCCUUAAGCGAAGUUAUUAGAGAUGUCUAUAGACCGGAUUGGAUCAGAAUAGUUAAUAUAUAUUGUACAUUUAUGCUAAAAUGAAAUGGGUGAGGAAAAAAAAAAAAAAAAACCCUGACAAGGUGUUUACAUUUCCCCAUUAUAGGGCUUACAAAUCUUUUUAAUUUUUAGCAGUAAAAACAAAGCUUUUUUUUUUACCUUGAAUUUGAAAGAUAGAUGUAUAAUAUAAGCCGGAAUAGAAUAUAUAAAUAGCACCGCUCUUGAAUUUUUGUUUAGUAGACGAGCCGAGUAUGAUCUGGGUCGGCUCGCUCUUUCGACUUCAUAACAACUUGAUACAUAUAUUUUAUAUUUAUAUAUAUAAUUAAAUAAUUAUAUAUAUAAUACAAAAUUUUUAUUGUUUGAUUUUUAGCCCAAUCUAAAUAUAAAGCCAACUCAAUUAUAAAAAUGCUUAUUUAUAUGUAAAAUUCAACCAUUAGAUCAAAGUCCAAUAAGUAAGAUCUCGCAAAUUUAUUAUAUAUAUCAUCAAUAUAUAUAUAUAUAUAUAUAUAAUAUAUAGUAUAAUAUUUCUAAUUCUUUAACUUGUUAUUCGUAAGCCAGUGUGAUAAAUUCAACUCGUUUAAUAACGAUAUUAAGUCAAAGUAUGAACAUGAAUUUUUCAACUUGAUACCUUAACAAUCUUAGACUAGCGGUGAUUUGCUCGUUUACACGAGCCGCACCAUCUCGCACAUGAUUCGGCUCGUUUGACAUCCCCACUUUAAGGUUUUGGAUGUCGGAAAUACGGAGUAUACUCCAAAAAUAAAACUUUUAAAUAAGAAGUUUAAUUUUUUGUUUUUUGUUUCUUCAGAGAUUUUGCUAUUCAAAUUAAUUUGGUAGAACAGCAUAUUUUACUUACGAGGUAAUUUAUCUUAUUGUAAAAUAAUAACUUAGAGCCUUAAAUAGCUGAAUAUAAUAUUUUAUUCUAAAUAUUUGGUCAUACUCCGUAUUUAUCAAAUAUAUAUAAAUUAAACAAGACCUCAUGAAUUUACUAUCGUAAAAAUUUAUAAACUAUAUUAACUAAAUUUAUAAAAUAAAUAAUAUAUUUAAAAUUUUAAAUUAAAUACAUUGAAAGAUUAGAUUGUAAAGUUAAAUUAAAAAAAAAUAAAUAGAUACUCAAAUUAAAAUGGCGAAUAGUUGAGAUAAGUUGUUUCCUCUAACAAAAAAACAAAUCCACAAGAACCGGAGCUAAAGCCCCCUCUCUCACCCUCCUCUUCUUCGAGCUCCGCCGAGGAGCCGAUACCAGCCCAAAAACCCUAGCGCUUCCGCGUUUCGGAGAAGCGCGGCGCGGCCAUGGAGAGCGCCCUCGCGAGCGCGUCGUCGAUCGCGGACCAGCGCCAGAAGAUCGAGCAGUACCGCCUCAUCCUCGCCUCCGUCCUCUCCUCCUCCCCCACCGACAUCGCCCAGGCGAAGCGCUUCAUCGACCACAGUAAAACCCUCUCUCUCUCUCCCCCGCCCUUCGCCCUCCUCCUCCGCAAUUAGGGUUUGUUUACUGUAGCUUUUUGUUGUAGGUGGAAAUAUACGGGGACGCCCCUCAACUGUAGGACAUUUCGAAAUGGAUCCCUCGACUUUACACUUCUUUGAUUGAUUUGAGUUAUUCUAGUUGGCUAAUUUGAGAAUUUUGUUGAAUCUGUUGUCUCUAUUAGCUAUUUGCUGUUUGUUGUUCUGGUUUUAAUUGCUAGAAAGUGAUUAAAAACUGUUUAAUUUGGUAGAAUCCUCAUCAAUUAGGGUUUACGCAUUGUAACUUCUUGUUAGGUUAAAAUGUUUGGCAACCCACUCACUAUAGGACAUUUUGAAAUGGACUUUACUCUUUUGUUGAUCUAAGUUGUUCCAGUUGGUUAAAGUUGUAAAAUUUUGUUCAACUUAAUGGCCCUAAAGUGAUUAAAGCUAUUAAAUUUGAGAGAAUCUUCCUCAAUUAGGGUUUACUCAUUGUAGCUUUUUGUUUGGUAAAAUGUAUGGGGGCCCUUUAAACUAGAGGACAUUUUGAAAUGGACCACCCAACUAUACUUUUUUAUUGACUUAAGUUAUUCUAGUUAGUUAUUCAGAUUUGUUGAAUUUAGUGACUCUAGUAGCUAUUAGCCUAUAAGCUAUUAUUUUUUCAAGUUUUAUUUGCUAAAAAGUGACUAAAUAUAGGAAAUGUGAUGGAAUCAUCGGCGAAUUUGUAAUAUGCAUGGACUAAAAUUUUUCAAAUUCCAAAAAAAUAAAAAAUUUUAGGCAGUGUCAGUUAAAAAAACAACGAAUUUGCUAGAAUACCCAAUUUAUGUGACUAAAGUCUCUUAAUUAAUCCUGGAAAAUCAAAACUUAACAGGGUGCUAGUAAAAAAAAAAAAAAAUUGAGUUGAGAUGAUCAUUUCAAAAUAACUGAUGGUUGGGGGGAAUCUCCAUACAUUUUUUACCUUUUUUGUUAUUUGGGUAAUUAAACCCCUUAUUUGUUUGGGUUGUAGUGGUCUCCGACGAGGUUCCACUUGUUGUGUCGCGGCAGUUGCUUCAGAGCUUUGCACAGGAGCUGGGGAGGUUGGAUGCUGACGCGCAGAAGGAGAUUGCACACUAUGCCUUAAAACAGAUUCAGCCUAGGGUGGUCUCUUUCGAGGAACAGGUCUUACUUCUUAAUCUUGUCAUAUUUCCUUUUCUUAUAUGUUUGACAAAUUGUCUGGAAUACCGGGAUUGGGUAACACAGAUGGCUUAUCUAGGAAAGAAUUUUGAAAACCAAAUUUUCUAUUAUUUAUAUACUGCUGCAAUGGAGCUCAUACGCCCAAUUUUACCGGGUCAUAGUUAGUUGGUUUCUGCUAUUUGUAUGGUUUAUUGAAAAUAAUGAUAUUUAUCAUUCACUAUCCUAUGAAAAAAAACAGGUUUAUCACAUCAAUGGUGAUAUCUAAAUUCAAACUGGUUGUAGUGCUCUUAAGUAGCCCUUAUGAAUUUGUGGGUAUCCUUCCUGUAUGCUUCAAUUAUACUUGUUGUACGCUUCAAAUAUGAAUCCAUAAAUGGUCUAGCUAUGUGAAGGCUAAAGUUAAAUUAACUUGCCAUACAAAGAAACAAGUUCCUUAAAGAGAGAAUUAAAAAAAACAGAAUAUAGCAGUAGAUAGCAUAAGUCUGAUGUUUUCCCACAGAACCUUUUGAGGUUUCAUUGUUUCUACUUCCAGUAAUACUUUCGUAAGUUUCUAACUUAACUAGGGUUUAAUCACGAUAUAAAAUUAUAGAAUAUAUUGUUAUAUGGUUACAUAGACUCAUAGUGAAUGUGAGAAGUAUCAAGCAAAUUUGUGUCUAAUCUUGUGAUAACCUCAGUCAAUUGCCAAAACUCAAGUGCUCAAAGGCCACAAACCUAUAGAGGAACCAAGAGGUACUCAUCCAUGUUGUUACUUCUAUUGUGACAAUGUAUUUAUUGAAAACUAGUUUAGACAUAUUUAAAACUUCCGUUAAUCAUCUAAAGAUUAUGAAUCUGAGCACGCUUUAACUGUGUACACUUCCAGUUGUUAUCUUCAGUUUCAUUUCCUUUAUAUGUUCUAACUAUUUAGUAGAUAAUAGAAUGGCUAGAAUGGAGUGGCAUAUCCCAAACUGUGUACACUUUAACUGGCUUGUAUUUCAGGUCUCAGUCAUUAGGGAGAAGCUAGCUGAGCUAUAUGAGUCUGAGCAGCAGUGGUCAAAAGCAGCGCAGAUGCUAAGUGGGAUUGAUUUAGAAUCUGGAAUUAGGUAGAUUUGGAUUUUCUGAUCCUGAUUCUUAUCUAACUGUUUGAUUUUGUUCUUUUGUGUCUGCCUCGCUAGGAACUCUAAUAUUUGGUUCUUCUUAGGAUGCUUGAUGACGCAUACAAGCUAUCCAAGUGUGUCCAUAUUGCUCGUCUCUAUCUUGAGGUUGGUUAAAUAUUUUUCUUCAACUUGAUAAUUGCUUGCCAAAUUGCUCACACACAUGGUUCGGCUAUCAGGAUGAUGAUGCAGUGAAUGCUGAGGUUUUCAUCAAUAAGGCAUCUUUCUUGGUUAGCACCAGUCAGCACGAGGUUCUAAAUCUACAAUAUAAGGUAGUCACUCUAUUAAUAGUUGCUUGUUUAUGCUUCAAAGCAUGCUCAAAUUCUCUGCUGAAGAUAGUAAUUUAUAUGCUUUUAAGGUUUGCUAUGCAAGGAUAUUAGAUUUAAAGCGGAAAUUUCUGGAAGCUGCACUUCGUUAUUAUGACAUUUCUCAGAUUGAGAAACGCCAAAUUGGAGAUGAGUAAGUCUCUUUGAUUCUACUAGCAAAUUUUCAUUGGUGAUGAGAUCAGUAUUCUAACUACCUAACAUUCUGGCCAAGUAGUUAUUGCUUCGUUCUGUUUAACCAGCCCUUCUUUAUGAUUGUUUUUGUAAAAUGUUUUUGUGUCUACCCUUAAAAGAUGGUUUUGUCUGCAUAAAUGUCAUUGUUGCACUCUCUGCUAUAAUUUUGGUUUUUUAAAAUGUAAUGUUGUCUAAGCUGCAAUUUAUCAGCAAGAUUAUCAUUCUCAUUUAGCAGCUUUAUUUUUGGUUUAUUUUUUCAAUUUUUUUGGAACUUGUAUCCUUGUAUGUUUUGAUUCCUAUACUGGAUUUGCAUUUAUUAUAUUUCAAAUUGUCAAUUCUUCAUUUAUUGCCAUAAUGGCAAGGAUCUAUUAGUCUUCUUAUGUCAUGUUAUGGCUUUGUUUAUUUUGAUCCAUCCGAAUCUGUUGUUAGGAGUUGGUGAAAAUCACAACUCAUAAACCCUUCAUUAAAAGCCGUUGGUACUUUUUUCAUUUAGAAUGAUAUUAGAUGCAUGUUACCAGGGAGAUUGAUGAGGAUGCACUGGAGCAAGCUCUCAGUUCUGCUGUGACUUGCACAAUAUUGGCUGCUGCUGGUCCCCAACGUUCUCGUGUACUUGCUACCUUGUACAAGGUAUUUCUACUAGUUAUUGCACAUUGUUAAUGUAGUAUGCGAAGAAGUUUGUAUAUGUAUGUGUUUAUUUGCGGAUGCCUGAAAUUCCAGACAUUUGUGUGAAGUAAAAAUGUGAGAUUAUUGAGCCUUUCUUUUGUACUUAAUACACUCAGAUGUAUUGUAAAGCCUUUACCCUUUUAUUGACUUGUUAAUCUACUGGUUCUGUGUCUUAGGCACAUGCUUGGCCACAUUGGCUCAAGGCCGAGACUUGUGCUUUGAAUGAGAUGUGCUCUUUGUUACCUAGGCUCAAAGCAUCAAACCUGGUGCGGGCUUAGUUUCAGGGCCUAGCUGAGAUGUGGGCUUCUGAGUUGCAAAAGUUGGUUUGGGAUGUUUAUAUAAAUGAAUUUAAAAAUGUUUGAUGCAGAUUUCUAUGUCUAUGUAAUAGCUAAGAUUCAUGCUUUGUGUAAUUCGUGGUAGCUUGAUAUAUCGAUUUGCAUCACUACAGUGAUUUGUUUAUUGUGAUAAUUUAGUUCAAAGGUUUAUUAAUUUUUCAAAUCUUACUUGUGAUAUGUUUAUACUGCUAAUAUAGGUCUUUAAUUGAGUAUAUCGUUCUGAAAAUUAGUGUAAAUGUGCAUCUUACUUUUCUUACGAGUUCACCUCGUGCCUUUUGCCUCGGUGCCCCUUGGACCUUUAAAACUAUGCAAAGUAGGUACUUUUUAAUUUAUUUGUACGUAUCCUAAUUUGGGACUUCUGUUAUUAGGAUGAAAGAUGCUCAAAAUUGAAGAUAUAUCCCAUAUUGCAAAAGGUUAGCAACAUUGUCUUUCACAUUCGAGGCUUUUAUUUUGAUGAGUAUUUUUUUCUUGACAAGGUUUGAUCAAUUCAAUAUUUCAGGUUUACCUUGAAAGGAUUUUACGAAAACCAGAAAUUGAUGCAUUUGCUCAGGAAUUGAAAGCACACCAGGUGAGCUUUUUCUGCUUCCUUGCCCUUCUGUUCUAUACCGUUCUUCAUGUCUGUAGUUAAAAAGAUUGUCUUUUCUCCAACAGAAAGCACUGUUACCAGAUAAUUUCACUGUGCUUGACCGGGCAAUGAUCGAGCAUAAUCUUCUGAGUGCUAGUAAACUUUAUACCAACAUAAGGUUUGGAAAUAAGUUAUUAUUUUCUUUGCUAUCUUUUUUUUGUGGUUGUCGUUUGAUAAAUAUUUCUUGUUCUAUCAGUUUUGACGAAUUGGGAACUUUACUGGGUAUCCCUCCUGAAAAGGUACAUUUCUUACAGAUAUGUUUGCAUAUAAAAUGUUUGUUUUCGUCAGGCUGAAUUUUUUAGCUGGAGUACUGUUUUUUGCUUAAUAUAAUUUAUUGGUGCUGAGAAUUUGUUUGUUUACAUCAGAGAUUUUAACUGCAUGCUACUGUUUGCUGUCAUUUUGAGGUGGUGAGUUAAUGCUGAUCAGUUGUGGAAUAAAUUCCUCUACCGUGUUCUCAUUUAUGAAUCAAAUCCAACUGCAGUCCAAUGGUUCCAAUUUUUCCAUAAUUCUGGUUGUUUUCUUCAUCCUAGUUUCAGUCCAAGACCAUGUAGGGAAAAUUUUUUUCUCAGUAUCUGCUUUACUUGGAGGAUCUAAAAUGAAGAAAGAGUUGUAGGAUGAUGAAUUCCAUCUGAUUUCCACAUUCAAUUCUCAUAGUUAUGGCGGUCCUCUUCAUUUUAAACCCAGAAAUACACUCAAGCAUAGCUAUUCCUUUAUAAGUUCUUUCUCGAAGAGAGAAAAGAAAUUUGUACUAAAAGAUAGCAUAAAAAGCAAUCAGGUGGAAAAGGUUGGGGGGGAUGUUUGGAGUUUGAUAAGAGGAGAUAUUGCAGGUAGUCUUACAUGGAACUGCUGCUUUAACUAAAAGUUAGUCCGUAGGAAGCUGGGCUUUUGGUUUCUUGCACUCUUAAUCAGUAGUGUAGUCAUAGGCGAUCUUGUUGUCAAAUAGCAAGCAUCCAGUAUUAGAUGCUAAAGUUUACAAGGAAGGAUGUAUUAACAAUGAAAGUAAUUGAAACAUCUAGUAGACAAGGAUUGAAUCUCAAUUUAUCCUUUGUAUGCAAUGCCAAAAGGGCGCAAUCAUUUUAGGAAAUUUAUGUAGUCCAAUCAGCUUAAAUUGUUUCUAAAGGAGAAUAAUGUUCUUUUUAUUAUAGGGAUCUAUAAUUUCUUUGAUUUAUGUUCUUGUCUUCUAUAACCAUCCUGUUCACUCUUAGGAGUUGAGAAAUCUUUAGUGCUUCUCUUGAAUUUUAAUGCAUAGCAGUGUUUGAUGCACCAUAUACUUUUAUGAGUCUUGUGGAUUCUUUUUUGGCAAAUCUCGUAAUUUUUUUAGUAAUUAAUAUCAUCAUGAUGAAUUUGGCCUGAGAGGACACAUUGUACUAAUUUGACGUGCUUGGCAACAUUUGGUAGGCUGAAAAGAUAGCCUCUCGGAUGAUCUAUGAGGACAGAAUGAGGGGUUCAAUUGAUCAGGUAUAAUUCAUUCGUUUUCUCUUCUUGUUACUAUGUUAUUUAGAGUCACCCUCGGCAAUGUCCGCAAACAUAAUUGUUGUCUAUGUUUUGGUUUUGGUGAGAAAUAUGAUAACAUGGGUGAAUUUUUGGUUUUCUUUUUUCCCUGAGAGAAAAACAUGCGUGAAUAUUGAACAAGUAAAACUUAUAUAUUUUCUCAUAUAGUGGGACAUGAAUAAGUUAUCCGAUAAUCCGUAAAGAUAUUUUGAGAAGAAUAGAUCGAAAGUAUGAACUAUCUUGUAGUUUGUAAUUAAUAUGCAAUGAGGCAAAGGAUGUUCAAUGAUGCCAUGAGACUCCAACAAACAUGGAAAUAAACACUUAAUUGUACGACAGGAAUUCACAGAUGAAAUUUAGGAUUCAUAGGUGAAAUCUGACAAUGUAUAUUAAGUAUUAACGCAACUGGCAAUCUAAUCUCCGACUUAGGAUUGUAUUAAUACAAUAGGAAAUAGGCGAAUAUUAAACAAGAUAAAGCAUUGGAUUAAUUUCUAACUAUAGUGCACUAGUAAUUUGUUACUAGAUCGAAGGAGUGGAUGACUCGUUGUACGUAUGCCUUGUAUUAAGCUCAAAGAAAUCAUUGCUGCACAUAUUCGUGGAACAGGAAAGUUCAACAGGCUUUGAUAUGUAUGCAUGGACAUGUCUACCUUAUCUGCAUUGAGAUAGGGAUGCUGUAAAGAUAGGAAAGUACAAUUGAAAUCUUUGUGUAACAAAUCAAAUCAAUUUGGCUCACAUACUCAUCCUUCUCAUUUUCGUUGCUACUUCUGUAACAGUUAGUUGAAUGUUAUUGUUCAGGUUGAAGCUGUUAUACAUUUUGAGGAUGACAUGGAAGAGUUACAGCAAUGGGAUCAGCAAGUGAGUCCAUUUUUCCUUACUGCUGGCUCAUCAUUAGUGAAACUGGGAUUAAGUACACCACCUUUUUCCCAUUAAAAAGCUACUAACAACUUGUUAAAAUAUGAGAAUACGGAGAGUAUGAUAAUCACUGGAACACUUGAAGGGUCACUAAUUAUCCUCUAAACACACGAUGUUCAUCAGUAUAUAUUGACUUAACCUUCUUAAUCUAUGUCUCAUUUCUUUUCCCUGCAAAUCUUUUGCAGAUUGUCGGUCUAUGCCAAGCUCUUAAUGAUAUCCUCGACUGUAUAACUAGCAAGGGCAUCACAAUUCCUGUUUGAGUUAUCAGCUAUGCCAUAAGAUCCCUUGGUGAUUGACAAUUGGAAAUUUGUCCUAGCAUUUUGGGUUGACGACGAUUCAUUUCGGUAUCAGCUUCAUUUAAUACUUCAUGGGGUCCCUUAAUCUUGUUUUCCUCCUUUUUGAGCAAAAAAAUUCUGUAUAAAGGACAUUGAUUUCGUCGCAUGCUAUGUGAAUAGGAGUUAAUUCAGUCAAAGCUAGCAUUAGGAGGUAGGGUUAUUCAUUUUAUGCUUGUUUUGCUCUUUGUCAACUUACGCUUUAUAGGGAACUUCACUGGUAUUGGAACUGCGUGGUCAGUGUCAUAGAACUUGUGCUUUAAAAUUAUGAUGAUUUUGUGUGUUACCUGUAGCAUGUGAUGCCGAGUGAGAUUAGUGUGGAAUCUUGGAGGCUCAGGUGAAUGGCAUUGGUCCUUAUCUGUUUAACAUUGGGAUAAGAACUGUGGGCUUUGAGCAUCAGCCAUCCCCCAUAUGUUCAAUUACUGAAUUAGGGUUUCAACACAAUUAGUUUAGCAGAUUAUGUUUGAGUUUUAAAACUGAGGUUGGAUUUUGGGUGAAUUUUUAGAAAAUCCAAAUCCGAACCCGGCCACCAAAUUUGACGGGUUUUGAAAGUUCACAUCCAAAAUCUAACUCGAUUAAAAAUUCAAAAUCCGAAUCCGAAAUUCCCAACUCGAAAUUAUUCUGUGUCAUAUUUUGAAACAUGCUAUAUUAAAAUCUAUAUUUUUUUAAUAUAUAAAUUUAAUUAAUAUAAAAUAAAUUUGGGUUUGGGUUUGCGUCGAGGUUUGGAUUUGGGUCGGAUAAAUCAAAAUUUGUAUCUGACUGUAUUGAAAUAAUAUUCGUUCAACAUCAGAUAAAUUCGACUUCGACCUGUUUUUAGGUUCGGAUUCGGAUAAAAUCCUCUCGGUUGUAAACUUCGCAUUGUCUUCUCCCCCUGCAUGAAGACGUGUGGAUUGGCUGCAAGCGCCUCCCGUAUCCAGAGAACGUGCGGAAAAAGUGAAACGAAGAGAGCGAGGAUAGUGAAAAUCCAUAAAAUUCGUGAAAAAAGUCAAAAUUAUUAUUUUUACAUGCAUAAUCAAAUUCUAUUAAUUAAAAUUUAAAACUAAAUUAUUUUGUAAAAUUUUAAAUAAAAUUGUUUUUAAAAUUUUAAUUAUUUUAAUGCGAAGUGUGCAUUAAUUGCACGCACGUUACAUGUAAACUCAAAAAUAGAUGUAUAUUCUACUCUCAAUCUAUCCAAGGAUAGGAAGUUGCUAGUCAUAUUACGUGACCGGUUAGUGGAGAAAACUUUAUUUUUGAAAGGGUGGAGUAUAGGAUAUAUCUUUACUUUUUUACGUGAUACUAGUACUGUAAAAUAUCCAAAAAAUUUCAAUAUAAAUUUUUUUGUACUAUAAAAUUAGUGUUGCAACCAUCAUCGGAAAACUAUGUAAUUACAAAAAAAACAAAGUACUUCUGGGCUUUUUAAAUAUUUUAUAGUAUUAAAAUAAUAAUUUUUACCACCACAUAACUAACUAAAUUAAACCUUAUUUUUACCACCACAUAACUAAAUUAAACGUUAAAUCCUGUCACCACAUAGAAUCGCCAAAUGAGGUAACCCUCUAUAAAUUUACUGAAAUUGAAACUGUUUCUCCUUGCUCGGCCGAAUUAUCAUUAAAACAUACAAAUCAAAGGAUGCAUGCUUUAAAACUACAACAAAGAAGCAACCAUCCCAUGGCACCCUUUCACAAAGACAAAAAGGAGUUUCCAUAACUUAUCACAACCCCUAAAAACCAUUCACAAGAGUUUCCAUAAAUUAUCACAACCCGAAAAACCAUUCACUCGGCGCGAGAGGGAAAUUAAAUAUGGACGCAACCAUCCCAUGGCCACUGCGGAACCUCACAGCCCAACAAAGAUCUCGACAGAGCAGAUACAUUGAAACCAUCCCGCGGGGACUGCAUGCGAUAUCGACCGUCUGGGGGGCGCCGGCGGGGAACGACUGCACCGCAGCAUGUGCUCCGACGGUUCGAUUGAGACGUCGACGGCGGCAGUUUUCAGGUGCAAGUAUACAGGAGCGAAGUAACUCUAGAUCAGGGUGCCUAGGAAGGUCACUCAAGAGGGCUACGUAUUUUGUAGGGACUUUUUUGUAUAUUUAUUUACUUGUAACAAGAUCAGUUUAGUGAAAAUCAUGUGUAGUAUGUAAGUAUCAAGUGCAAUUGUUGCAUGUGCUUAAAAAUUUUAAUUUGGUAUGUAACUUUAGUUUCUGGUAUGAGUAAUAUAUGGUAUUAAUAGAGACAUUUUUAGUAUUGACAAAGUAAUUUUAUUGAAUCUCGUCCAUCACAAGCAGUGUCUUACUCUACGGAUGUGAUAUUUAAUUAUACUUUGUAGUCUCAAUAUUAUACUAUCAAAAUUUAAGGUAAAAAGUACGGAACUUGCCUGAUCAUUUUGAGUCUGCUAUUUCGAUCUUUAAAAAUUUUGAGUUUACCGUCCAACUUUUCAAUUUGUUUGAUUCGAAUAAGUUGAGAACACUUUGAAUUCAAACUUUGAAUAUAUUGGUUAUCUUCACAGGUUUAAAUUAGUAUGCUUUUACCUUGAAAAGUUGGAUAGUUAAUCAAAAUUUUGAAAUGUUGAAUAUUCGACUCAAAAUGGUCAAUAGUUCAAAUAAUUUAUGGACAUUAAUUUUUACCAAAUUUUAAUGAUGUUUGUUAUCUGUUAAUGAAAUAUUUGUAAAUCUAAUAAAAUGUAACAUUAAUAGUUUUGACAAAUCUGAUUGAGAGAUGUAGAAUUAUGAGGUAAUACCAAAUCAAAACUUUCAAAUUUUACGUAGCAAUUUCAAGAUGCCCAGUUGCCCACAGUUCAUAUGGUUAGAAUAUUUUAACCUUCUUUGUUUAUUAUUUUGUUUUCUUUGAAAUAUUGCCUUUUUGUAUAAAAAAUUUAUUAACAUUUUUGUAAAAUCAGACUGUUUUUCGAUUUUGCAUAGAUUUCUAAAAAACUGUUCAAAAUACUUCUGUAUAUUUUCUCUCUUCUCUCUCUUUCUCCUCCUCCAUUGCCCCAACAUCGAUCACUGCAAUGCUCCUACACUAAACUCCCUACUUCUCUUUUGCCGUCGACGAGGACGAUGAGGGUUCGAAUGUGGCACUGAUCGCAGAGAUGAGGGCGUGGGUACUAGUGCAGUUCAAGACGACGAGGCACGACAGGGUGCCGGCCAGAGCUGGAGGAGCGGAGGGAGGAAGAGGAAAGAGGAGAAGGGAGAGGAAGGAGGCGUCAAUGUCCUUCUUAUUUGUCUUCUUUUUUUUUAUUUAUUUUUUUGAUUCUUUCUCAUUAAAGCGAAUAAAAUAUUAUAAUAUUACACUAUUUAAUUAUAUGUUGUACUAUUUGACAGUAUAUUAUAAUAUUUCAUAAUUUUGACGUCCUUUGGUUCUCUUUUCUCCUUCCUCUCAUUUCCUCCUCUACCAUCACUGGCACCCCUUCAUGUCUUCACUCCCCGCCAUGAGCGCCGCCGCCACUGCUGCCAUCAAGACAAUGUUCUUCUGGGUUAUUGACCCUGCAGCCGCCUCUGCCUUCGACGAUGACGUUGGUGACAAUGGCAUCACGGCAGAGGAGACGAGACAACCAACAAUAACAACAAGCAAGGUGCAAUGACCCGACCCCCUAUCAACAAUAACUUAUUGGGUCUAAAUCACUGGCCCAAAAUAUUUAAGUCCGGUUAUUAUUAUUGACGCGUAGGUCUCAUAUAUUCUAAUAAGAAUCAGUUUUCCACCCGAUGUGAGACUAUUGGGACGUUACAAAAGACAAGAGAAGAGAGGAGCAUUUUGAUCGUACUUCUAAAAAAUUGGCUUGAGUCUGCAAAAUCAAAAAAUAUAGCUUGAUUAUACAAAACACAAAACUAAUAUAUUUUUUUAUGAGAAAAGGUCUUGAAAUAUUUAUUAAAAUUAUUUUCGAAUCGUUUCUAUUCAUUUAUGAAUAUUAUGACAAAUAUGAUAUAAUAGCCGGUUCAACCCGCCAAUUCCAGAUAAUCUAUAGUUUCCAUCUCCACAUUUUUGUCACUUAAUGGCACACGACGUAAUCCUAACUAGGCUAACAUAUUUGACCUGAGAACAUGGGCCCUGAGUCUCUAAAAUGGGAAGAGUUUGUAAUACCCAAUAGAUCAAUAUUGGAUUGAAAAGAGAUUAUACUGGAUUGGAUAUAUAUGAACCAAGCAUUUUAUUAAUUAAAGAGUCAAAUAUUUGGACUGGACUGAUGCUUUGAGUCUAAUUACUUACUACUUACUAGUACUAAUGGACUGAACCGUGCCCCAUAAUCUAUUCAAAGAAAUCAAUCCCUUCCGUCCAAAUUCUGCUCUCAAGUCAUCAAUUUGUUUAGAUUAUCCGUCACAUAGAACUGGAAGAGUCUCGGGAGACAAAAGUGAUACAAGUGAUAAAAUAAUCAGACAAGAAAAUUGUGAUGCCCCAACUUCCCAGUGGGUCAUUCAUUCUAGAACUAUUUUCGUACUAGCACGCUUAACUUUCUUAACCUCUUGGGUCUAAGCUAUCACCCAAAAUGUUUAAGCCGGAUUAACAGUUUUACUCAUAUUAUAUAUUAUAUAUAGUACUAUAGAUCUGAAGUCUCACAAAAAUUAUAACCUAUCUCCAAAUUAUUUAACCAUAAUAAGAUAAAUUGCAUCAUAUGUAAAAUUAAACAGUAAUAAUUUAUAUGCUCCUAAAAAAUUUUCAACUUUUUUAUUUGCCCCUCGUAUAUGACUACUAUAAAAAAUAUUUUUUUAACGUUUCAAGCUAUUUCAAAUAUACCUCUAAAGUUAAAUUCUAUAAGUGAACUAUUAGUAACAGUCGUUAUCUUUGUGAAAUUAUUAUAUGAAUUCAAAUAUAAAAUAUAUACUUGAAUUCACAAUUUGAAUCCAAAUUUCAAAUUGAAGUUCAUAGCUAAAAUUAAUUUGAUUCAAAUUUAAAUUUAAAUAUUUGAAAACAAGCUUGAAUUUAAAAACUAAAAGUAGUGUAGCCAUGUGGUAUGUCCACAUUGGCGGGUUUUAAUUUAACCCGAUCCAUUUAGGAUGUGGGUUAGGACUUAUCCUAAUAGGUUUAGGAUAAUAAUAAAUUAUAUGUUUCUUAUCAGUUAAGAAACAUAUCCACUAGAGGAUAUCUAUCAUAUCCUAGUUCUUAUCCUAAUCUCUUUGUGAGAUUCAGGAUAUUUAGGGGUUCCGUUAUUCUAUAUAUACGUCCCCUUGUUUCUCCCAUCUGAGAAAAUUGAUAUUCGAAUUAAUUUAAUAUUCCAUUAUUCUCUCUCUUCUUCCUCUUUGGGAUUUCCACCUACGUUCUCGGGGUUUUGGAGUGUGGACAUAGAAGAGGACUCUGGUAGCCCUCUUCGAUUAACAUCCGUCGCAUCAGAUCCGCAACCGAUCCGUGGCGUAAGGCGUACGCGUGGGAGAAGGCGAGAAACGUGGGAGAUCCAGAAGCAUCGAGACAAGGACGAUCCAAGAAGGCUUGUAAAACAAGUAAUCCGAUCCGAUUCGAGCUCCCGGAUACGUUGGCUAUCCGGUUUGUAAGUUUUCGCUGCCUAUUAUUUCCAACAAGUAGAAUUAAAUUUGAAUAAAGAAUUUUACGCAGCUAAUUUUACGUUAGAAUUCAUGGAAAUGCAUGACCUAACCAAGGGAUGAAAAAUCGGUUGAGUUUGGCAAUUUUUAUAAACGGUUCAAAAGAUUAUUUACACUGUCAUAACUUUUCGUUCUGGUGUCUAUCUUUAGCAUGUAACCCAAUAUAAAAAUAUACUUUUUGAGAUCUACGCGUUCAACCAUAAAGUCGUUCUGACCGAGUUUGCGACUCAAAUUUAAUUGUUUAGGCCUCCGAAUUUACACUUUCAAGUUAUUUUUAAAACGUUUUAUAUAUUUCAUAUUUUGAAUCCAAUUAUUUAAAUAAUUUUGAUUGGUUUAGAUUUAAAGAUAUUUAAAAUUUGAACAUAAUUCAAAAGUUAAAAUAAAUUUAAACUUAAAAAAAUCUAAAAAAAAUAAAGUAAAGAUCAAAUAUUAUCUUUUACAUAGAUUAUUCAUUUUUUGCGACUUCAAAAUUUUUAAACCGAAGUUAAAAGAGUUAAAUAUAGUAAUAACUCACUUUUCAACCACUUUUGCAAAGUAAUGAACUUUUACAUUCACUUACGAAACCAAACAUAAGAAAAGACACUGCUUUUUAAAAGUAUUACUAUUAUUAUUAUUAUUAUUAUUAUUAUUAUUAUUAUUAUUAUUAUUAUUAAUGCUUUACUUACUACCAACCAAAUACAAACUUACUUGGUCCCACUUUAGAAUUUUGAAUUCUCAAAAAUCUUAAAAAAAAAAAACAAAACAACAGUCCAAUUGGCUUUUCACGUCAGUCCUUAGGCUUAACAUCACUCAUAAAGCCAAAAAAAUACAAAAAAACCAAAAAGCAAACACACACACACACACGCACGCAACAAUAUUAAAGAUUUUCAAAAUCUAAUACGGCAUUUUAACAUCUGCAAUUGGCUAAGAAUUUGAUAGUUGGUAUUCGAGAUCUUAAAUUUAUAAUUUAAUUAUUUUAUAUUUUUAGCCAAAUUUAUUUUUAAAAGAUAAAUAAAAUUCGUAGCUGUUAUGUUUUUUAAAAAAAUUUUAGGGUCUUGCGUUGACUAGACUACUCUCAAUUAGGGAUGUCAAUGAAUACGGAUAUCCAAAAUUUUAUCCGAAUGCUAAUUCAAAUGGAGCGGAUUUCUCUGAUGCUAAACGGAUAUGGUUUCGAAUAUGCAUAUCAAGAACAAAGAUCUGAUGGAUAUGAAUUCGGAUAUGGAUUUUAACUGCACUCGAUCCGAAUCUGAAUUUAUUUUAUAUUAUAUGUAAUAUGUAUAUAAAACUUUGAUGUUAUAUUUGAAUUUAUAUUUUAAAAAAUUAGAUUUAAUGUAAUAUAUUUUGCAAUAUUGAAAAGAGAAAUAAUUUUUUCAGGUUCGGAUUCGGCUUCGGGUUUUAGAUUUUGGUCGGAUUCGGCUUUGGAUAUGAAUUUUUAAAAUCCGUCGAGUUCGGAUUUGGAUUCGGGCUUCGGAUUUAAAGUCGGGUUCAUGUUCGGGUGUUUAAGUCUGCCCGGAAUCCGACCCGUUGACAUCUCUACUCUCAAUGGCCCGGAAAUUAAGAAGAAUCUAUUUUUUGUCAUUUUUUGGAUGGGCAUAUUGGCCCAAUGGAUGUACUGGCCCAACCCCAUCCCUAGAUAAAUUAAUUAUUUAACUUUGUUUCAUACAAUUGAAAGGAAAAUCUGAUUCUUUAGGGCCCCACAUCUAGGAGAAUCUUUAGCAGCUAUGUUUUUUUUUUUUUUUUUUUUUUUUUUUUUUUUUUUUUUUUUUUUUUUUUUUUGAGAAUUAGGUAGUAAGCUACCUGCUUCAUUCAUUAAGCAAAAAUAAAUAUGUGUAUUAAACCCAAAGUCAGGGGCACUAGCCCGAAUUUAAGCACCCAUGGAGCUCAAUCCAUGACAAUAUUCAGAAAUUUAAAAAUAUUUAGUAAACAGUAAAGUUAACUUGAAUAAGUUGCACUAUGAUGAUCAUAAAAGUACAGAAUUACUCGUGCAUUAGGCCUUAAGAUAGUUUGACAAAAAAGGAAAUUGUAAAGCUUUCGCUAUAUAGAAAAGUAGAAUCUCCUAUUUAAUACAAUUAAUUUUUAUUCGACUAAGAAACAAUAUUACAAUACGUCGUUACAACGAGACUGAACAGGCUCUUAACAUAAUGCUAGAUAAGAAAAGAAGAAGAGGAAAGAUGACACAAACCCACCCAUCUAUUCAUAAACUGUGAGACCCCAGAUAGCCCUAUAUAUGUGAUAUAAUAGGGCUAAACUCUUAACCCGGCUUUAAGCAUUUUGGGUGGUGGCAAGGCCCAAGACGUUAAGAGAGUUAAGCGUGUUAGGACGGGAGUAGUUCUAGGAUGGGUGACCCUCUGGGAAGUUGGGGCGUCACAGAUGGUAUCAGAGCCAAUUACCAGCCGGAAGUGUGAGAUGAGUCUUGGCUGAGCCAGGGUCUGGAUGACGGGCUAGCGAGAUGAGUCUCACAUCGCCUGGUACUUGUGAGUCUGAGCCUGACGAGGACGUCAGAGCUUAAAGGAGGGAGAUUGUGAGACCCCAGAUAGCCCUAUAUAUGUGAUAUAAUAGGGCUAAACUCUUAACCCGGCUUAAGCAUUUUGGGUGGUGGCAAGGCCCAAAAGAUUAAGAAAGUUAAGCGUGUUAGGACGGGAGUAGUCCUAGGAUGGGUGGUCCCCUGGAAAGUUGGGGCGUCACAUAAACACUCUAUACUUAUUGAUGCUACAAUUAAGCCGUGAUACGUCAUGCAUCUAUCUUGGCCAAGGCAAGGAUGCUCCUUUAAAAAAGGUGAACUUUAUUGAUGCUAUAUAUAUAUAAAUGAAAAGGUCCAACCUCUAUGCGCAUGCAUGAGAUCUCAUGCUCAUUCAUGUUCAACAAGUAUUAGGCAACAAGAACAAAGAUAUGGCCUACGACCACUCAUCAAAGCAAAAAAUGUACGUAGCCACAAAUUAAGCCCCAAUCAAAGUACGUAGAGAGUACAAGAUUCCCAUGGCUCUUGUGACAUGGAAUUUAGCUAUUAGGGCACGAAUCUCCCAUCACUGUAAACAUCACGGCACAUGACAUUAAUACAUCCCUACUAUAAAAGAGGAUCUAGUGCACAUGGUUGUAGAUCUCUUCAUGGUGUCUUGCAAAAGCCAACAAGAACAUAAAGACAUAUAGAAAUCUCCUAUUCCUGCAACUCCCUUGCAUUUUCUCAGCAAAAGCACGUUCUACCCUUUUUCUUUUAGAGAGAGAACUUAGCAAGCUAUAUAUUUGCUGUGUUCAUCUUUUUAAAAAUAAAUUUAGUUAAAAAUAUAAAGUAACAAAGUUUCGAAUUUUGAAGUAUGGGUACCAACCAUCAGGCUCUUAACCAACUGCAAUAUAAUAGAUACGAUCGGUGACUAUUUAUAUGUCGGCAUAGAUGAUAUAGUACUGUGUGUUUGGGAGUGCAUUUUGGAACCUCAAAAGCACUUUGAGAUCAAACGGAGUUAAUGUUGUGUUUGGUAACACGCAAAGAAAAUUUUAAAUUUGUGGUGCAUGUGUUUUGGAGGGACGGACAAAACGGGUGUUUUACGCAAGCCAAACCCUCUCAAAUUUUUAAAAAUAACAAAAUUACCCUCAAACUUUACAACUAAUUUAAUCCUAUCCUUAGUAAAAGAUUAAAGGAGUUCUAUUAGUAAGAAGAAAAAUUCAUGAAGACCCCCUCAACUAUUGGCCAUUUGCUAUCUUAGAUUUAUUUUUUUUUUCAGUCGACACUUCUCCGACUUUUAUUUGUUUUAAUAUUGAUUUUUAGUCGAUUAAAUUAAAUACUUUAUCAAAUUUAUUAGCGAUUACAUCAAAAUGUACUACUUUAAUCACCAUUUAGCAAAGAAAGCUUAAGAACACGCCAAUUUCAAAAAGUAUUUUCAGAUGAGUACCUUAACUUUGAAAAUUUUUAUUUAGCUAUCUAAUUUUAAAAUGCCUUUGAUUUAUAUUCUAUGAAAAUUUAAUAGUAACUUUGAUUUCUUCUGAUGAAAAAUUUUGCAAUCUAACAUAAUAUUCUUAGUUUGUUGAAAUAUCCUCUAAUCUUUUUUACUGUAGAGUACUAAAUUCUAAUAUGUUGCUUAUGAAUUUUUGAAAUCAUUAACAAUAUAAAGUUAGAUAAUAAAAUCAAAAUUUUAGGUACAAAUAACCUCAAUAUGCUCUAAUGUUCAGAUUGAUCCGUAUUUUUUACUUGAAUUCACAAAUAUCACUUACUGAUUUUUUUUUUUUUUUUUUUUUUUUUUUUUUGUAUUUGUCAUGUUUUUAAUAUUUUAACUAGAUCUCAAUCAUGUACCAUUUGUAUUAAACUCGUAUACUUACAAUUUUAGUUAAAACAAAUUAUAUAAAAAUAAAUAUUUGUCAUUUAUAAUUUUUUUCAUCAUUUGGUGAUUCAAAAUAACUUUUAAAUUUGUGACCAAACAUGUUAUGGAUCACUUUUAAAUAUAUAAAAAAGCUUUUGGUAUUUUGUAGCUAAACACUAUUCGCAAACACAAUUACUUUAUUCAGAAUCAGUUUUUAGUCUCAAAAAACCUUCUAGUACAAACAGCUUUUUAAGUCAAAACUUACCGCAACCCCAAACAGACCCUAAAAGGUUUUGAUUGAUUUAUGCAGACAAUUUUAGUAAUUAAAAACUUUGUAUGGGGAACUAAAAGUUUUUACCUUAAAAAUUCAAUUGGAUUGGAAAACUUUAUUGAAUUGGCUAUUAGUUGAACCAAGACAUUAGCAUGAUACCAUAAAUUAUUUGCAUUACAUGUAUGAUAUUGAAAAAGAAAAAAAAUGCAUCCUACAAAAAUAAGGAAUAGUAAAAGAAACACUAGAGUGGUUUAAGCAUGUUCUUAAUUUGAGUUGUCCCUUAAUAUUGAUUUUGACUCCAUUAUGGAAUGAGUGUGUGUAGGAUAUAUGUGUUAGAUACUAGUUUGCAAAAUUAUAUUUAGGAACUAUAUCAAGCCCAUCACAUAUUGGACAAAUAAUAGGCCACGCUGCAAAUACAUGAGAAGAUGGAGAAUAUUCAUUGAAUAAACAUUUUGCAUGCAAAAUUCCUUUAGCAAAUUAGGUUGUAAGGUGUAGAUAAGAUUGACUUCCUUGUAGCUCCCUAAGCCUAAAUAGAUGUACACCACAUGGACUCAACAAUCAAUAUGCAUAUCUAUGUGGUGGUAAUUGGAUUGUAGGGUCCUAGCAUGGGCCAUGCUUAGUUUCUAGGUGUGGAAACACAUUUCGAAAGCUCAAAACCAAUAGCUAAAAAUUUUCCACCACAAGCCUUGUUGUAAUAGAUUAAUUAAUGCUUGUUUUUGGAAGUGGACUUAUGGCAUGGGCAGAGUUAGCUAGCUACUAGUCACCUAUUAGGCUAUAUUAGAAGCCAAUUGGAGCUCCAUGGCGCAUACUGCACUAUUAUUCUAAAUCAAACUACGAGACUGUGACGCCCCAGCUUUCCAGGGGAUCAUCUAUUCUAAAACUUCUCUCGUCCUAGCACGCUUAACUCUCUUAAACUCUUGGAUCUAGUCACCACCCAAAAUGCUUAAGCUGGAUUAAGAGUUUAGCCCUAUAAAUCUUAUAUAUAGAAUACGUUCUCGUCAGGUUCAGACUCACAAAUAUCAGGCGAUGUGAAACUCAUCUCGCUAGCCUUGUCAUUCCGACCUUGGCUCAGCCGAGACUCAUCUCACACUUCCGACUGAUAAUUGGCUCUGAUACCAAUUGUGACGCCUUAGCUUCUUAGGGUCAUCCAUCUAGGAUUAUUCUCAUCCUAACAUGCUUAACUCUCUUAACCUCUUGGACAUAGCCACUACCCAAAAUGUUUAAGUCGGGUUAAAAAUUUAGCCCUAUAUAUUUUAUAUAUAGAACUAUCUGGAAUCUCACAAAAACUCUCUCACGGAGAGAACUAUCCUUUUCGAAUCGACUGGCAGUUUACUACUAUUAGCUAUCCAUUAUUAUAUACAUAAAAUCCCCUUGAUUUUCUAUGCAACUAAGUAUGAAAGAGAGUCCCCACCACUUUGAUCUUUUGACAAACAAAUUUAGAAAAAUAGUGUCCCCACUUCUUUCUUCUUUGCAAGCAAGAUUUGGAAGUUCUUUCUCUCUCUCUUUCGCGCAAAGUGCGACAAAAUGUCUUGUUCAAGUAAUUCUUAUACCUUAAUGGAUGGAAUUUCAGUAGCAGCGGGAGUGAGACCCCACCAUUCUCUUUCUCAUUAAACAUGGGGCAUGGUACAUAGAUAUAUACUAGAAAAAUCCAACUAAAUAGCCCAAUCGGAAUACAACUCAUUGAGAUACUGCAAAUUAAAAUCAUGAAAUCAGCACAAAUGCCAUUAUUGCUAGCCAGGAAAGCUCUAGGGGAAAAUCCAAAGGAGUUUAGCUUCAGUGUUCUCUAAACAUGCAUAUAUAUAUAUAUAUAUAUAUAUAGAGCAUGGCUGCUGUACUUUCAGGAGUACGGAAGUCUCCUUGCUCCUGAGCCGUUUUUUAUGAUGAAAUUUUCGAAUCGACGAUCGGCUCCGUUAGACUUGAUCUAGCGCAUUUGAAGUUUCUAGAAAAUAAUUUUUGCGAUUUUUUGAUAUCAUUUACAUAGUGAUCGAAAUGUUUCAAAAUUCAUAAUUUAUAAUGGUUGAUAUCUGUCGUUUUCAAGUUUAACGGUGUAGAAGUAUUCAAAUCAGAUGAAAUUUUGAUACAAAAUUCUUUAUACUAUCUACAAUAAGAUCAAUAUUUCUGAUCGAAAAUUUUAGUACUAUAUCACCACUUUUUAUAGGAUUUUUAUUUUCAGCCGUUAAAAAUUAUUGAUUUUGAGUCCUUUCGAUUGCUAGGUAAAUGAUAUCGAAAAAUUGCAAAAAUUAUUUUCCAGAAACUUCAAAUACGCUAGAUCAAGUUUUACGGAGCCGAUCGUCGAUUUGAAAAUUCCAUUAUCGAAAACGGCUCAGGAGCAUAGAGGCCUCCGUGCUUCUGAGAGCACAACAGUCCUGCUCUCUCUCUCUCUCUCUCUCUCUCUCUCUCUCUCUCUCUCUCUAUAUAUAUAUAUAUAUAUAUAUAUAUAUAUAUAUAUAUUCUCCUAAUCAUAGUAACAAAUUAAAUUCUCUAAUUUUUCUUGUUAAAUUCGCAAAUAAUUUACAAAUUUUUUAGUGUCCAAAUAAUUGCCAGAAUUAUUUGUCACGUAAACACAUAUUGAUAAAAAAAAAAUUAUUCUUUCACAGUAACCAAUACUAAAUCAAUUAUCCAUUGUGCUUUUAAGUCUCUCUUAUCAUAAUUUAAUAAAAAGUUAAAGCAAUUACAUAACGAUUUUGUACGUUUAUAUAUCAUGUAUUCAUAAUUUACUAAUGAACGGUAUAUUACUGUGUUUUCUUUUUUUUUUUUUUUUCCGAACUCCAAACUUUUCGAUCUUAUGAAUUUAAUCCGAACGCUAAACUUGUGACUACGCUCCUUACCAAUUAAGAGUAACUACUGAUAAGGCUAAAAAGAAAACUUAGAUCCACAUGACAAAGCUAAAAUACUUUCUUUAUGAUUUCAAACCUGCAGUCUAUACACUACAACAGAAUUAAGUUAUAGCGACAUAUUUUUGAAACACUUUUUUGUAAGUGUCUCAUUUAUACCAAAACUUUUAAAAAAAUUCUACGAAGACCUAAAUAUAAAGCUCAAUCCAACCAAAAAUAAAAUGUUACUCUACUCAACCCACCCCACCCAGCCCGUUGGUCCCGAUUACGAACAGAAAACGAAAAAAAAAAGAAAAAUAUAUCACCAUCUUUCCUUCUCCCCUCACUCAAUCCAUUGAAAUCCUAGACGAAGAGCCCCUCGCUCUCCUCCUCCUCCCCGCUGCAACCGACGAGCGGUUGCUAAAUGCUUAAAUAAGUGUUGGUAAAUUAGCAGCAUUCUUUUUAAGUUAUACCGACACUCUUAAAGUGUCGCUAUAUACCUAGCGACUCCACAAAUAGCAACACUUUUAAAAAGUUUCGAUAAUUUAGCCAGCAACACUUUUUUUUGGCUUAUACCGAUAUUUAAAAGUGUCGCUAUAUACCAUUUUUAUUGUAAUGAUAUAUGAAUCUCUAGCUAGAAUGCCAACCUUCUCACUAGCUAAAACCUCCUCUCCAGCCUAACCAAAAUCCCACUUAUUCCUUCUGUACAUUUCAAUCAAGUUGCUACCAUAAUAUCCUAAAUCCAAAAAGUCACUCUUUAAUUAUUAUUUUCUCUUUCUAGUUAGAUAAGUAUCUUAUCAUAGCAUCUGUUAGCUGGGUUUUCUUAAUUUUCUUCAAUAGCAUUAUUUGUAUUAAUUGUGGGAUUAUUGGUGCUAACUAUUAAUUCCAAACACUCGAGCUGCUAAAAAGAUACAAUUAAUCCACGUAAAGCGUACAGGUACAGAGCCCGCAAGUCUUUAUUGUAACUUUUUUCAAUCCGAUCUCCUGUCUUUUGGAACAUGUCUGGGCCCAACUUGGCCUUCCGCCACACAUAGAGUAAGAUGCUGGCCCUUUUAAGCCAACACUGAUGAUCAAUUUUCAGUAUCUGCAUUGAAUAUUAGAGCACAAUAAUUAAGUAGAUUACGCCAUAUGUAAUUGCUAAUAAUAGUAGGCUGGGUAGAGGUUUGCUACUGCUAUCCUUGUUUACAAUUCAGUAUAUAUGCCUUCUAAUUAAGCAAACUUAAAACUUCAUCUGAAGAUAAUCCACCUGCUGUUAUCUUCUAAUUAAUGCUGCACAAAAGAAGCCAAACUGUAGCAUCCUCCCCUACUGAUCGAUCUCAAGCUAGGUUUUUUCUUCCUCUCAGCAUUUCUCUUGUUUUUAUCCCCCUUUCACUCAAAAGAUGCCAAAGUCCUAUCAAUGGACUGCAGCAUCCCCAGCCUUUUGUUUUCAGCAAGUCUCCUUCACAUUAAAAAGAACAACCCAGUGCAUAUUGAACUCUUCUCCGAGCCUCUAGUAUUUAUACAGUGAUCACGUCUCUACGAACUGUCACAACUAAAUACCCACACAUUUCGAUCGUAAACUCUUAUUAUUCAAUUCUCGAGCCAUUUCACUGCUUAAUUCUUAUCAACAAGGUCGAUACUCUCAUACCUCAAAAUAAAAUACAUGUUACACCGUUGCAUCCAACAAUUUCUUUUUUACCCUUUAGAUAAGUUUUUAGUAAAAAAAAAAAAAAAAAAAAAAAAAAAAAAAAAAAAAAAAAAUCAUGCGAUUGGUAAAUCAAGUACUAUAGCCAUAGAAAGCCUAGGGUGUAAAUCUUAUGCUCUGUCUCUCGAAUAUUAUUUCUUUGUAUUACAUGUACAUUCAUUAUGUAUGAUUUAAUAUAGUCCUUAAAGUUAAUUUCGGAUCUAUAUACCAUGACAUCAAAAUAAGAGCACCACUGCAGGUUCUGUAUUUACGUUCCAAUGAUUUUCGAAGUUGAGGAGAAAGGAAGAAGUAGUAGUUAGUUUGCAGUUAGUUAAUAGCGGAACUCGAUCGAGCUCCAUGGAUCGCCCAUGACAUCGAAGGAGACGUCGACGACGAAGAGGCUAUGGUGGGUUCCCGGGCCGCUGAUCAUCGGCGCGGGGCCGUCGGGACUGGCGACCGCCGCUUGCCUGAAGGAUAGAGGCGUCCCCUACCUCGUGCUCGAGAAGGACUGCUGCAUCGCCGCGUCGUGGAAGCUGCGCACCUACGAGCGGCUCAAGCUGCACCUCCCGAAGCACUUCUGCGAGCUCCCGCUCAUGCCGUUCCCGCAGCACUUCCCCACGUACCCAACGAAGCAGCAGUUCAUCAGCUACCUCGAGUGCUACGCGAAGCGCUUCGCCGUCGAGCCGCUGUUCGGCGCGAGGGUCGACCGCGCGGAGCGCGACGCCUCGCUCGGGCUCUGGCGGGUGCGCGCGGGGGAGUCGGAAUUCAUCUCCCGGUGGCUCGUGGUGGCGACGGGGGAGAAUGCGGAGGCGGUGACGCCGGAGAUCGGCGGCGUCGCGGAGUUCCGGGGGAGAGUCAUGCACACGAGCUGUUAUAGGAAGGGGGAUGAUUUCACCGGGGAGAAGGUUUUGGUUGUGGGCUGUGGGAACUCUGGGAUGGAGGUGAGCUUGGAUCUAUGUAACAAUGGUGCUCAUCCCUCUAUGGUUGUUAGAGACAAGGUAUACAUCUAAAGCUAUUUAUUUAUUUAUUUAUUAUGAUUUGCUUCUCUUCAUGCUUCUCAAUUCUAUAAUAGGAAAGUAGUUUAACGAGUCACACUAAUUAUGUAUAAUAUGGAAUUUUAUUUAAUCAUACAGUGGGUUUCUCUCCUUUUCAACCUGCAUAUUUCUAGCUUGUUCUAGUCCCUCCUAACAUGGGGUCAUUUUCAAAAGGAAAACCAACUCUUUUGAUUUUAUAAUUAUUAUAUUAACAUUUCCCAUCCUUCAUGUACUUCUUCGUUUCCUACCUUCGUACUUUCAUGUAUAAC